rnacentral:rRNA from 1 species
UCCUACGGGAGGCAGCAGUGGGGAAUAUUGCACAAUGGGCGAAAGCCUGAUGCAGCAACGCCGCGUGAGCGAUGAAGGCCUUCGGGUCGUAAAGCUCUGUCCUCAAGGAAGAUAAUGACGGUACUUGAGGAGGAAGCCCCGGCUAACUACGUGCCAGCGGCCGCGGUAAUACGUAGGGGGCUAGCGUUAUCCGGAAUUACUGGGCGUAAAGGGUGCGUAGGUGGUUUCUUAAGUCAGAGGUGAAAGGCUACGGCUCAACCGUAGUAAGCCUUUGAAACUGGGAAACUUGAGUGCAGGAGAGGAGAGUGGAAUUCCUAGUGUAGCGGUGAAAUGCGUAGAUAUUAGGAGGAACACCAGUUGCGAAGGCGGCUCUCUGGACUGUAACUGACACUGAGGCACGAAAGCGUGGGGAGCAAACAGGAUUAGAUACCCUGGUAGUCCACGCCGUAAACGAUGAGUACUAGCUGUCGGAGGUUACCCCCUUCGGUGGCGCAGCU